rnacentral:rRNA from 1 species
UACGGGGGGGGCAAGCGUUGUUCGGAAUUACUAGGCGUAAAGGGCUCGUAGGCGGCCUGCUAAGUCGAACGUGAAAUCCCCGAGCUCAACUCGGGAACUGCGUCCGAUACUGGCAGGCUUGAAUCCGGGAGAGGGAUGCGGAAUUCCAGGUGUAGCGGUGAAAUGCGUAGAUAUCUGGAGGAACACCGGUGGCGAAGGCGGCAUCCUGGACCGGCAUUGACGCUGAGGCGCGAAAGCUAGGGUAGCAAACGGG